GGGUAGCGAAGUGGCUAAACGCGGCGGACUGUAAAUCCGCUCCUUCGGGUUCGGCAGUUCGANUUUUUUGGCCCG
rnacentral:tRNA from 1 species